rnacentral:rRNA from 1 species
UACAGAGGUCUCAAGCGUUGUUCGGAUUCAUUGGGCGUAAAGGGUGCGUAGGUGGCGCCGUAAGUCGGGUGUGAAAUUUCGGAGCUUAACUCCGAAACUGCAUUCGAUACUGCGGUGCUUGAGGACUGGAGAGGAGACUGGAAUUCAUGGUGUAGCAGUGAAAUGCGUAGAGAUCAUGAGGAAGACCAGUGGCGAAGGCGGGUCUCUGGGCCAUAACUGACGCUGAGAAGCGAAAGCAUGGGGAGCGAACAGG